CCUAAUACAUGCAAGUCGAACGCUUCUUUUCCCACCGGAGCUUGCUCCACCGGGAAAAGAGGAGUGGCGAACGGGUGAGUAACACGUGGGUAACCUGCCCAUCAGAAGGGGAUAACACUUGGAAACAGGUGCUAAUACCGUAUAACAAUCGAAACCGCAUGGUUUCGUUUUGAAAGGCGCUUUACGGUGCCGCUGAUGGAUGGACCCGCGGUGCAUUAGCUAGUUGGUGAGGUAACGGCUCACCAAGGCCACGAUGCAUAGCCGACCUGAGAGGGUGAUCGGCCACAUUGGGACUGAGACACGGCCCAAACUCCUACGGGAGGCAGCAGUAGGGAAUCUUCGGCAAUGGACGAAAGUCUGACCGAGCAACGCCGCGUGAGUGAAGAAGGUUUUCGGAUCGUAAAACUCUGUUGUUAGAGAAGAACAAGGGUGAGAGUAACUGUUCACCCCUUGACGGUAUCUAACCAGAAAGCCACGGCUAACUACGUGCCAGCAGCCGCGGUAAUACGUAGGUGGCAAGCGUUGUCCGGAUUUAUUGGGCGUAAAGCGAGCGCAGGCGGUUUCUUAAGUCUGAUGUGAAAGCCCCCGGCUCAACCGGGGAGGGUCAUUGGAAACUGGGAGACUUGAGUGCAGAAGAGGAGAGUGGAAUUCCAUGUGUAGCGGUGAAAUGCGUAGAUAUAUGGAGGAACACCAGUGGCGAAGGCGGCUCUCUGGUCUGUAACUGACGCUGAGGCUCGAAAGCGUGGGGAGCAAACAGGAUUAGAUACCCUGGUAGUCCACGCCGUAAACGAUGAGUGCUAAGUGUUGGAGGGUUUCCGCCCUUCAGUGCUGCAGCUAACGCAUUAAGCACUCCGCCUGGGGAGUACGACCGCAAGGUUGAAACUCAAAGGAAUUGACGGGGGCCCGCACAAGCGGUGGAGCAUGUGGUUUAAUUCGAAGCAACGCGAAGAACCUUACCAGGUCUUGACAUCCUUUGACCACUCUAGAGAUAGAGCUUCCCCUUCGGGGGCAAAGUGACAGGUGGUGCAUGGUUGUCGUCAGCUCGUGUCGUGAGAUGUUGGGUUAAGUCCCGCAACGAGCGCAACCCUUAUUGUUAGUUGCCAUCAUUUAGUUGGGCACUCUAGCAAGACUGCCGGUGACAAACCGGAGGAAGGUGGGGAUGACGUCAAAUCAUCAUGCCCCUUAUGACCUGGGCUACACACGUGCUACAAUGGGAAGUACAACGAGUCGCGAAGUCGCGAGGCUAAGCUAAUCUCUUAAAGCUUCUCUCAGUUCGGAUUGUAGGCUGCAACUCGCCUACAUGAAGCCGGAAUCGCUAGUAAUCGCGGAUCAGCACGCCGCGGUGAAUACGUUCCCGGGCCUUGUACACACCGCCCGUCACACCACGAGAGUUUGUAACACCCGAAGUCGGUGAGGUAACCUUUUUGGAGCCAG
rnacentral:rRNA from 1 species